rnacentral:lncRNA from 1 species
UUUCUUAAAACCCACGGGGGAUGCACAGAGCAAAACUGAAAAAUGCCCUCCAACAAACCAGCCCAGGGGAGUGAGGCUAAAAGGGACGUCUUUUCCCCUUGUUUUACAGGGACAGGUAACCUCUAAAUGCAGCCAUCGUUUCAGUAGGACAGGCUGAAGGGAAAGACGUUCUCCUCAAUGAUUUAUGAGCAGCACGUAUUAAGUAUCCAAUGCAUGCCAGAGCAAUAGCAGGGAAGGCCAGCAAGGAGCAGCAGAUGCUGCAAGGAGUGCAAAGUUCUGGAGUGUGACAGAGCCUUGGCAGCAGUGGCUGGCGCUUGUUUUCCCUCACUUUUGGUGGAAAAGUGUGUCAAUGGAUGUCAAGGUAAAUUCUUCUCUUUCUCCCUUUCUUCCCUUCCCCCUCACCUCCCUCUCUCAAGGCUGUCUUUGUGUCAUCUCUUCAAAGUACACUACCUGUAAAAUAUUGAUUCACAGCAGGCUGAGCUGGCAGGUUUAGAUUUCUUUUUCACUGGCAGCAAUAAUAAACUACUACAGACAGUGCA